rnacentral:rRNA from 1 species
ACGUUAGCGGCGGACGGGUGAGUAACACGUGGGUAACCUACCUAUAAGACUGGGAUAACUCCGGGAAACCGGGGCUAAUACCGGAUAACACAUGAAACCGCAUGGUUUCAUGAUGAAAGACGGUUUUGCUGUCACUUAUAGAUGGACCCGCGGCGUAUUAGCUAGUUGGUAAGGUAACGGCUUACCAAGGCAACGAUACGUAGCCGACCUGAGAGGGUGAUCGGCCACACUGGAACUGAGACGCGGUCCAGACUCCUACGGGAGGCAGCAGCC